AUUGAACGCUGGCGGCAGGCCUAACACAUGCAAGUCGAGCGGAUGAGUGGAGCUUGCUCCAUGAUUCAGCGGCGGACGGGUGAGUAAUGCCUAGGAAUCUGCCUGGUAGUGGGGGACAACGUUUCGAAAGGAACGCUAAUACCGCAUACGUCCUACGGGAGAAAGCAGGGGACCUUCGGGCCUUGCGCUAUCAGAUGAGCCUAGGUCGGAUUAGCUAGUAGGUGAGGUAAUGGCUCACCUAGGCGACGAUCCGUAACUGGUCUGAGAGGAUGAUCAGUCAGACUGGAACUGAGACACGGUCCAGAAUCCUACGGGAGGCAGCAGUGGGGAAUACUGGACAAUGGGCGAAAGCCUGAUCCAGCCAUGCCGCGUGUGUGAAGAAGGUCUUCGGAUUGUAAAGCACUUUAAGUUGGGAGGAAGGGCAGUAAGUUAAUACCUUGCUGUUUUGACGUUACCAACAGAAUAAGCACCGGCUAACUUCGUGCCAGCAGCCGCGGUAAAAC
rnacentral:rRNA from 1 species